rnacentral:lncRNA from 1 species
CCAGCAAAUCCCGCCAACCUGAUAAAUCUCGCAAGAUACUCAGUUAUACUCUCAUCGUGCUUCUGCUCAAUAGAAUUAAACUCUCUCAUAUAACCAUCCUUCUCUGCCUUUGAGAAGUACUGCUCAUAAAACAAAUCUGUGAACCCCUGCCAAGUCAAUGCCUCAACAAAUGCAUCACCCCUAAUGGUCUUCACUCCUCUCCACC